rnacentral:tRNA from 1 species
GCCCCUAUAGUAUAGCCUGGAUAGUACGCAACCUUGCGGAGGUUGAAACCGGAGUUCAAAUCUUCGUAGGGGCG